UACGAAGGGGGCUAGCGUUGCUCGGAAUUACUGGGCGUAAAGCGCACGUGGGCGGAUUGUUAAGUCGGGGGUGAAAUCCUGGAGCUCAACUCCAGAACUGCCUUCGAUACUGGCGAUCUCGAGUUCGGGAGAGGUGAGUGGAACUGCGAGUGUAGAGGUGAAAUUCGUAGAUAUUCGCAAGAACACCAGUGGCGAAGGCGGCUCACUGGCCCGAUACUGACGCUGAGGUGCGAAAGCGUGGGGAGCAAACAGG
rnacentral:rRNA from 1 species